rnacentral:rRNA from 1 species
UACGGAGGGUGCAAGCGUUGUCCGGAAUCACUGGGCGUAAAGGGCGCGUAGGCGGCUCAUGAAGGCUGUGGUGAAAGUCCGGGGCUCAACCUCGGAUCGGCCGUGGCGACUCGUGGGCUGGAGCACUGUAGAGGCGGGUGGAAUUCCGGGUGUAGCGGUGGAAUGCGUAGAGAUCCGGAAGAACACCAGUGGCGAAGGCGGCCCGCUGGGCAGUGGCUGACGCUGAGGCGGCGACAGCGUGGGGAGCAAACAGG